rnacentral:rRNA from 2 species
CAUCUUGCUCCAGCAGUACUUUCCAGAGAUGCUAUUGGUGCCUUCGGGAACUCUGAGACAGGUGCUGCAUGGCUGUCGUCAGCUCGUGUUGUGAAAUGUUGGGUUAAGUCCCGCAACGAGCGCAACCCUUAUCCUUUGUUGCCAGCGGUCCGGCCGGGAACUCAAAGGAGACUGCCAGUGAUAAACUGGAGGAAGGUGGGGAUGACGUCAAGUCAUCAUGGCCCUUACGAGUAGGGCUACACACGUGCUACAAUGGCGCAUACAAAGAGAAGCGACCUCGCGAGAGCAAGCGGACCUCAUAAAGUGCGUCGUAGUCCGGAUUGGAGUCUGCAACUCGACUCCAUGAAGUCGGAAUCGCUAGUAAUCGUAGAUCAGAAUGCUACGGUGAAUACGUUCCCGGGUCUUGUACACACCG